ACCCCCUGGCAAUGGGCAAAGAGACACUGUAUUGGUGGUGGUGUUCUUCUGUCAGUCAGGGCCUGAGCAGAUGGCAGUCCUGUGUUCAUCCUAGUUUGAUGCCUGGCUUGGUGGCCAAAGCUGUCUGAUACCUAGGACUCAUAA